GGUCUACGCAGGUUGCGUGGAGCCGUCCCUCAUUUACGAUGAUUUUCCUAUUCGGUGUGUGACGUGUUUUGUUUAGCCUUUGAGCAAUGUGUUUCGACUGUUGAAGAGAAUUAAACGUAUCGGACGUGAACCGCCGACAUUAAUCGAAUGCGAGGGAGGCAAAACCGCGUGCGGUUAGGUGAAGGUCAUAAAUACGGGGCGGUGUCGACUUUGUUGUUGUCAACAACGUUACGGUGUUAUGAUUUGAGCUAUUUAACCUCAUUCGAUGUAAUUAGGAAAUCUCGUGUGGAUAACAACCAUUACGCCACCACCCAUGAGGAUACUAUAUGAACAUUUGUGUAUAUGCUCCAUUUAUUGGAUAACUGUGGUAGAAGGGAGGGGUUCAAAACCAAUUGGGAGCGUGACCCGGCUCCUCAACUAGUAAUGUGAUAAAUGUGGCGGAACUAAAACGUAGGCGGUGCAUAUGUCGUUAGUGUCAUCUUUUGAGGAAAACAAAUGAGACCCCACAUCAGAAGUAGUGAAAAUGAUCAGGAGGAAUCGGAAGAAUUUCCCCAACUUUGUGGAGGGAUGUUUCUAUAAGUUUGAGGACAUUGGAGUUAACACGGGGAAAAACUUUGUUACGACGAAUGGCAGAUUUCAGUUGAUGCCAAACAUAUU